rnacentral:rRNA from 1 species
AACGAACGCUGGCGGCAGGCCUAACACAUGCAAGUCGAGCGAACCCUUCGGGGUUAGCGGCGGACGGGUGAGUAACGCGUGGGAACGUGCCCUUUGCUACGGAAUAGCCCCGGGAAACUGGGAGUAAUACCGUAUGUGCCCUUCGGGGGAAAGAUUUAUCGGCAAAGGAUCGGCCCGCGUUGGAUUAGGUAGUUGGUGGGGUAAUGGCCUACCAAGCCGACGAUCCAUAGCUGGUUUGAGAGGAUGAUCAGCCACACUGGGACUGAGACACGGCCCAGACUCCUACGGGAGGCGGCAGUGGGGAAUCUUAGACAAUGGGCGCAAGCCUGAUCUAGCCAUGCCGCGUGAUCGAUGAAGGCCUUAGGGUUGUAAAGAUCUUUCAGUGGGGAAGAUAAUGACUGUACCCACAGAAGAAGCCCCGGCUAACUCCGUG